GCAGGGAUGACUUCACAUGGUGUUGAUCAGUCAUGAAAAUACCCAUUUGUCCUCUAAGAAGUUCUGAGCUC